rnacentral:rRNA from 1 species
CAGUCGCCGCGGUAAAACAGAGGAUGCAAGCGUUAUCCGGAAUGAUUGGGCGUAAAGCGUCUGUAGGCGGCUUUUCAAGUCCGCCGUCAAAUCCCAGGGCUCAACCCUGGACAGGCGGUGGAAACUACCAAGCUGGUAUACGGUAGGGGCAGAGGGAAUUUCUGGUGGAGCGGUGAAAUGCGUUGAGAUCGGAAAGAACACCAACGGCGAAAGCACUCUGCUGGGCCGACACUGACACUGAGAGACGAAAGCUAGGGGAGCAAAUGGGAUUAGAUACCCCUGUAGUCCCUGUCUCUUAUAC